CUCAUUCUGCCUUGCCUGCCACCAUGUAAGAUGUCCCUUGCUCUUCCACCAUGAUUGUGAGGCCUCUCCACAUGUGAAACUGUGUGCCUAUGAGGUGAACUGCCAUGUCUACACAUCCCAGUAUGAGUGAGUGCAGGUGGUGUGCACGCGCCCUGCGAUGGGAGUGUGUCCUAUUCAGGGCUGGUUCCCGCCUUGCGCCCUAAGCUUUGGAGAUAGGCUUCGGCCACCCUCAACCCUGAACUGGAAUAAGCAGAAAACCACAUCUGGUCAGGAGCCCAAUGUGUCCCACUUGGACAAGAAUAGAAAUCUCUCUUCUGGAAUAUGGUUUGUCACUCUCAGAUCUUCUCUGGUUGGAGCCAAUGGUUUCUUUCAGACCUGAGAUAUCCUGAUGAAGCAGACCACACCUGCCCUCAGAGAUGACCUCAUGAGGAAGCUGAGUUGCAUAACAAACAUCUCUGCUGCUCAGCCACCUCCACUCUUUUUCAACAGACCUUGGAGAUAGCACAGCACCCACACCAAAAAAUCAGGAAGCUCUCUUAUCAGCAAUCUUUCUGUACCUAUGAAAUCAGACAUUCCAACCAUGGCAGAACCUCUUGAGUGGACCAGAGCUUCAGAGUCAGGAAAAGCUGGGGCCUAAUGAUGUUUCCAAUCAAAUCACUCUGCAGGGGAUUUUCCAUUUAACAUAUUGUGAUUGUGCAGUAACAUUAGUCUUUGCCAUUUAAUUUAUUAAAUUUUAAAAUCUUGUAAUAUCCUCAA